GAUGAAGAACGCAGCGAAAUGCGAUACGUAAUGUGAAUUGCAGAAUUCAGUGAAUCAUCGAAUCUUUGAACGCACCUUGCGCCCUUUGGACAUUCCGAAGGGCAUGCCUGUUUGAGUAUCAUGAACACCUCAACUCUCACGGCUUGUCCGUGAUGAGCUUGGACUUUGGGGGUCUUGCCGGCCUGUGGUCGGCUCCUCUCAAAUGGAUCAGCUUGCGAGUGUUUGGUGGCAUCACAGGUGUGAUAACUAUCUGCGCUUGUGGUUUUCCAUCAGAUAACCUUCAGUGAUAUGGAGGUUCGCUGGAGCUCACAAAUGUCUCUCCUUAGUGAGGACAGCUCUUUGAACGUUUGAUCUCAAAUCAGGUAGGACUACCCGCUGAACUUAAGCAUACAAUAAGCGGAGGA
rnacentral:misc_RNA from 1 species